rnacentral:rRNA from 1 species
AGUGAACGCUGGCGGUAGGCCUAACACAUGCAAGUCGAACGGCAGCACAGUAAGAGCUUGCUCUUACGGGUGGCGAGUGGCGGACGGGUGAGGAAUACAUCGGAAUCUACUUUUUCGUGGGGGAUAACGUAGGGAAACUUACGCUAAUACCGCAUACGACCUACGGGUGAAAGCAGGGGAUCUUCGGACCUUGCGCGAUUGAAUGAGCCGAUGUCGGAUUAGCUAGUUGGCGGGGUAAAGGCCCACCAAGGCGACGAUCCGUAGCUGGUGUGAGAGGAUGAUCAGCCACCCUGGAACUUGGACACGGUCCAGACUCCUACGGGAGGCAGCAGUGGGGAAUAUUGGACAAUGGGCGGAAGCCUGAUCCAGCCAUACCGCGUGGGUGGAGAAGGCCUUCGGGUUGUAAAGCCCUUUUGUUGGGAAAGAAAAGCAGCAGGUUAAUACCCCGCUGUUCUGACGGUACCCAAAGAAUAAGCACCGGCUAACUUCGUG